rnacentral:rRNA from 1 species
GGAGCUUGCUUUAUAUAACUUAGCAGCGAACGGGUUAGUAACACGUAGAUAAUCUAUCCUAUACUGGGGGAUAGCCCGAUGAAAGUUGGAUUAAUACCGCAUAUAGCUAUAUAGUUGCAUGAUUAUGUAGUGAAAGAUUUAUUGGUAUAGGAGGAGCCUGCGGCACAUUAGCUAGUAGGUGAGGUAAAGGCUUACCUAGGCGACGAUGUGUAGCCGGUCUGAGAGGAUGAACGGCCACAAUGGAACUGAGACACGGUCCAUACUCCUACGGGAGGCAGCAGUGGGGAAUAUUGCACAAUGGGGGAAACCCUGAUGCAGCAACGCCGCGUGAGUGAAGAAGGUUUUCGGAUUGUAAAGCUCUGUUAGCAGGGAAGAGGAAGGACGGUACCUGCAGAGGAAGCCACGGCUAACUACGUGCCAGCAGCCGCGGUAAUACGUAGGUGGCAAGCGUUGUUCGGAAUAACUGGGCGUAAAGGAUGCGUAGGCGGUUAAACAAGUUAUAUGUUAAAUAUAUAGGCUUAACCUGUAGAAAGCAUAUAAAACUGUUUAACUAGAGUGCAGGAGAGGUAAGUGGAAUUCCUAGUGUAGCGGUGAAAUGCGUAGAGAUUAGGAAGAACACCAGUGGCGAAGGCGACUUACUGGACUGUAACUGACGCUGAGGCAUGAGAGCAUGGGGAGCAAACAGGAUUAGAUACCCUGGUAGUCCAUGCUGUAAACGAUGGGUACUAGGUGUGGGUUGUGAAUAAC